GCGACCUCCACGGCUCCACAUGACCCUGCUCCAAGACCACGACCGGCACCCACCACUCCACCAGCAACCUCUCUAGUCUCCACCAUGACCCUCUCCACCAGGCCAGGACGACAGCACCCACCGCGACCACAACUGCAGCCAGCCCGCCGCCAAUCUCCUCGUUCCCGGCGCUGCUCCUCGCCGAGAUACCACCAGAUUCCAUGUCGUUUCCUUUUUCUUGUACUACAUGAUUACCGAUCCAAGAUCCAGAUCCCAUGUUUUCUUAAAUGAUCCAGAUCCCAUGUUCAUUGAAAGAAUAUUUUUUUUACAUGGAUUUGCUUCACCGCCCGGUGUUGAUUCUUUUUCUACAUGGUCAGUACCCGAUCCAGAUCUUGUUGAUUAUUUUUGCACAUCGCCGGCUGGGUCGAUUCUUUUGCUUCACCUCAGAUUUUCUUCCCCGGUCCGUCCACCCUUUUUUCAAGAUUUUUUUUCACUUCGUGAUCUUCCUUUUCUUUUUCGAUCUGCUUCUGCACGAAUUUUCUUGGAUGCACAGAGGUAGGGAGCCAUCAAUUUGUGUUUUUCACGAGUCAAUGAUUUGAUUUUCAUCUCCGUGGAAUCUGCACAGGAUCCAUUUUAUUUGUCAGAACAAUAUUCUCUUCUUUCUCACGGGCGAGGGAGGCCUCUGGUUGCAAGAUGCAAGAUCUGUAAUUGGGCACGUGGAUUUGAGAUCGGGGUCCAGAAGAAGGAUUUGCAUAUCUGGAUGCUCGAUCUGGAAUUUCCUUUGGAAGCUAUAGUGUAGUACGAUUGGCUGAUUCCGAUCCCAUAGUCAUUGAAGUCCACCACUCGCCCAUCUUCCUACUGAACAACGGCAAGGCGGCCCGCCUCGGCCAACCAGCGAGCUGCCCCAGAUUCCUGCUCGGCGACCCUGCACCCGCUCCGGCCGGACCAGAGCACUGCUGUGGCGCAGGCCGACGGAUUUCUCGAGUUGAGUGGACGGGCGGGCGGGCAAGGCCGUCCAUGGCGGCGGCAGAUGGGGACGAGUGGUGGCCGUUCUGGUAAUCUGGUCCAUCCACGCGCGUCUGCAGUGGAGGAUGGACGAGGAGCUCCUGGUGGCCGCCCGUAUGGAGGAGCUCCUAGUUGCCGGUGCCCUCCACCCCCACGCCCAUCUCCGUCUGCAAGUUGUGGUUCAAGGAGCGUGAGAUUCUUUAUUUCUUUCUGCCUGGCCUUGGUGAUACUGAUGUAAUUCCCCUUUUUCUGAUCUUCACUUUGCAUUUCGUUUCUGAUCGUACACUGUUAGAUUUUGGGGUUUGCUGUGUGCUUAGGCACAUGUAUUUGAGGAUGAAUUUUCUUGCUGUUUCGUAAGAUGGGUUAGUCGAUUUGUUUUUAAUGAUUCUGUAAAUUUUGAAGCUAAAAUGUUAGGAUUUGCAGAUUUA